CCUAAUGUUGUUAUUUAAAUAUAUUUAAAGCUUUAAACUAAUAAAAGGAAAUCAAACACAUUCUUCAUACGGAAUACCGAAAAAAAAUGAAAAAACAGGUGGUUAUCAAACUAAAACAAAGGAGUGAAAAAAUAACCUCAUGAUAAAGCCAAAAUCCUUACGAAAAUCAGAUUAAUUGUAGUUCUCCGAAUUGAAACGUAGAGGAGACUCAACCAGCUUAUCGGAUACGACACAAAAAACCAAUAAUCGGACUCGGACCGGAAAAUCAAAGCGAGAUCUCGAACCGCAAUCCACUUCAACAGACCUCUUCAAUUCAAACCGUAAAACUACAAAUGAAACAAUAACGAGCUGUGGUUUUAGUUGCAGUGGUUGAGUUUUUUUUAUUCAUGGUUCAAGCAUAAUUAAAUAUGAGGUGAUAUACGAGUUUGUUGGUGAGAUUUCAAUGGUUUUCUAAUCUUCUUCUCUAUCUUUGAAAUGCGGCUGGUCUUUGGAGAAGAAGCAGGCUGCGAUUUUGGGACUGGUUUUGAUGGCGGAACAGUGAGGCUUAUGGGCUAUUCCAUGAAUGCGUUUUUGGGAUUGGUUUGAAACUGAUAUUUACGGGUGUUCUUUUUUUUUUUUGAAGAAGAUGAAAUUCUA
rnacentral:lncRNA from 1 species